GAAUAUUGGACAAUGGGGGGAACCCUGAUCCAGCCAUGCCGCGUGUGUGAAGCAGGCCUUUUGGUUGUAAAGCACUUUAAGCGAGGAGGAGGCUACCUGGAUUAAUACUUUAGGAUCGUGGACGUUACUCGCAUAAUCAGAACCGGCUAACUCUGUGCCAGCAGCCGCGGGAAUACAGAGGGUGCGAGCGUUAAGCGGAGUUACUGGGCGUAAAGCGUGCGUAGGCGGCCAAUUAAGUCAAAUGUGAAAUCCCCGAGCUGAACGUGGGAAUUGCAUUCGAUACUGGUUGGCUAGAGUAUGGGAGAGGAUGGUAGAAUUCCAGGUGUAGCGGUGAAAUGCGUAGAGAUCUGGAGGAAUACCGAUGGCGAAGGCAGCCAUCUGGCCUAAUACUGACGCUGAGGUACGAAAGCAUGGGGAGCAAACAG
rnacentral:rRNA from 1 species